GGGCCCGUAGCUCAGGUGGUUAGAGCACUCGACUCAUAAUCGAAGGGUCGCAGGUUCGAGUCCUGCCGGGCCCA
rnacentral:tRNA from 1 species